rnacentral:lncRNA from 1 species
GGGGGAAAGUAAAAUAAGGAGUGCUCCCCAAGGUGGGAGGAGAGAAUCCGACAACGCUCCAAGUUUCCAUCUCGAAAGCCAAAAAAUGGAACCCUUCCUCAGAACCGCCAAUCUCCAAGCCCUUAAAGAAGGGAUCGGCAUGCCUCGCCGCUAAGGAGGUAUAAUAAUUAUAUCCUAUUGAAUACUCCAAGGACUCAGGU